GAUGAACGCUGGCGGCGUGCCUAAUACAUGCAAGUCGAGCGAACAGACGAGGAGCUUGCUCCUUCGACGUUAGCGGCGGACGGGUGAGUAACACGUAGGUAACCUACCUAUAAGACUGGGAUAACUUCGGGAAACCUGAUCUAACACCGGAUAAUAUUUCGAACCGCAUGGUUCGAUAGUGAAAGAUGGCUUUGCUCUCACUUAUAGAUGGACCUGCGCCGUAUUAGCUAGUUGGUAAGGUAACGGCUUACCAAGGCAACGAUACGUAGCCGACCUGAGAGGGUGAUCGGCCACACUGGAACUGAGACACGGUCCAGACUCCUACGGGAGGCAGCAGUAGGGAAUCUUCCGCAAUGGGCGAAAGCCUGACGGAGCAACGCCGCGUGAGUGAUGAAGGUCUUCGGAUCGUAAAACUCUGUUAUUAGGGAAGAACAAACGUGUAAGUAACUGUGCACGUCUUGACGGUACCUAAUCAGAAAGCAACGGCUAACUACGUG
rnacentral:rRNA from 1 species